UACGUAGGGUGCGAGCGUUGUCCGGAAUUAUUGGGCGUAAAGAGCUCGUAGGCGGUCUGUCGCGUCGAUCGUGAAAACUUGGGGCUUAACCCUGAGCUUGCGGUCGAUACGGGCAUGACUGGAGUUCGGCAGGGGAGACUGGAAUUCCUGGUGUAGCGGUGAAAUGCGCAGAUAUCAGGAGGAACACCGGUGGCGAAGGCGGGUCUCUGGGCCGUUACUGACGCUGAGGCGCGAAAGCCAGGGGAGCGAACAGG
rnacentral:rRNA from 1 species